CCCCAGACUCCUACGGGAGGCAGCAGUGGGGAAUACUGCACAAUGGGGGAAACCCUGAUGCAGCGACGCCGCGUGAGUGAAGAAGUAUCUCGGUACGUAAAGCUCUAUCAGCAGGGAAGAAAAUGACGGUACCUGAGUAAGAAGCCCCGGCUAACUACGUGCCAGCAGCCGCGGUAAUACGUAGGGGGCAAGCGUUAUCCGGAUUUACUGGGUGUAAAGGGAGCGUAGACGGCAUGGCAAGUCAGAUGUGAAAGCCCGGGGCCCAACCCCGGGACUGCUCUUGGAACUGCGCGGCUGGAGUGCAGGAGGGGCAGGCGGAAUUCCUGGUGUAGCGGUGAAAUGCGUAGAUAUCAGGAGGAACACCGGUGGCGAAGGCGGCCUGCUGGACUGCGACUGACGUUGAGGCCCGAAAGCGUGGGGAGCAAACAGGAUUAGAUACCCCUGUA
rnacentral:rRNA from 1 species